UGAGUAGGGCAAAUGGCCGCUGCUGCGAUACCGCAAGGCCGCAGGAGAGGAAAGUCCGGGCUUCACAGGGCAGGGUGCCAGAUAACGUCUGGUGGAGGCGACUCCAAGGAAAGUGCAACAGAAAUAAACCGCUGCCGGCAGUUUCUGCCGGCAGUAAGGGUGGAAAGGCAGUGUAAGAGACUACCGCCUGGCUGGUAACAGACAGGGCUCUGUAAACCCCAUCCGAAGCAAGAUCAAACAGGAAGCAUAAGGCGGCCCGUCUGCUUCCGGGUAGGUUGCUUGAGGCUGCUGGUGACGGCAGUCCUAGAUAGAUGGCCAUUCAACGACAUAACCCGGCUUAUCGCCCUGCUCAAUUC
rnacentral:RNase_P_RNA from 1 species